rnacentral:rRNA from 1 species
UACGUAGGGUGCGAGCGUUGUCCGGAAUUAUUGGGCGUAAAGAGCUCGUAGGCGGUCUGUCGCGUCGAUCGUGAAAACUUGGGGCUUAACCCUGAGCUUGCGGUCGAUACGGGCAUGACUGGAGUUCGGCAGGGGAGACUGGAAUUCCUGGUGUAGCGGUGAAAUGCGCAGAUAUCAGGAGGAACACCGAUGGCGAAGGCAGGUCUCUGGGCCACUACUGACGCUGAGAAGCGAAAGCGUGGGGAGCGAACAGG